AGUGAACGCUGGCGGUAGGCCUAACACAUGCAAGUCGAACGGCAGCACAGGAGAGCUUGCUCUCUGGGUGGCGAGUGGCGGACGGGUGAGGAAUACAUCGGAAUCUACUCUGUCGUGGGGGAUAACGUAGGGAAACUUACGCUAAUACCGCAUACGACCUACGGGUGAAAGCAGGGGACCUUCGGGCCUUGCGCGAUUGAAUGAGCCGAUGUCGGAUUAGCUAGUUGGCGGGGUAAAGGCCCACCAAGGCGACGAUCAGUAGCUGGUCUGGGAGGAUGAUCAGCCACACUGGAACUGAGGCACGGUCCAGACUCCUACGGGAGGCAGCAGUGGGGAAUAUUGGACAAUGGGCGCAAGCCUGAUCCAGCCAUACCGCGUGGGUGAAGAAGGCCUUCGGGUUGUAAAGCCCUUUUGUUGGGAAAGAAAUCCAGCUGGCUAAUACCCGGUUGGGAUGACGGUACCCAAAGAAUAAGCACCGGCUAACUUCGUGCCAGCCGCCGCGGUAG
rnacentral:rRNA from 1 species